UACGGGGGGGGGUAAGCGUUGUUCGGAAUUACUGGGCGUAAAGGGCUCGUAGGCGGCCAACUAAGUCAGACGUGAAAUCCCCUCAGCUUAACUGGGGAACUGCGUCUGAUACUGGAUGGCUUGGAUCCGGGGAGAGGGAUGCCGGGAAUUCCGGGUGUAGCGGUGAAAUGCGUAGAUAGUCCGGAGGAACACCGGUGGCGAAGGCGGCUUCCUGGACCGACACUGACGCUGAGGCGCGAAAGCUAGGGGAGCAAACGGG
rnacentral:rRNA from 1 species